rnacentral:rRNA from 1 species
AUUUAAAAAGAGGGAAUAUUUAAUGGCCUAGAGUUAAGCCAGGGAUGCAGAUCAACCCUUAAGAAGAGGGAAUAGAGGCGGAGAUCCAGAAUGGCGGGAGCCGAUUUUAAAAUUAGAGAAUCCCCCCAGGGAGGAAUUACAAGUUUCAGAAUUGGAAAGCAGGAGAAUGCAUAACACAUGCAAGUCGAACGGCAAGACGGAUGAUUUCAAGUGGUGGAGAGUGGAGAAAGAGGAGAAAACAUCAGAACAUUUCCUGUAUUGGGGGAUAGCCGGGCGAAGCCGGAUUAAUACCGCAUACAUCUACGGAUGAAAGCGGGGACCUUCGGGCCUCACGCUAUAGGUUUGCCGAUGGCUGAUUAUCUAGUUGGUGGGGUAAAGCCUACCAACGCGACCAUCAGUAGCUGGUCUGAGAGACGACCAGCCACACUGGGACUGAGACACGGCCCAUACUCCUACGGGAGGCAGCAGUGGGGAAUUUUGGACAAUGGGCGAAAGCCUGAUCCAUCAAUGCCGCGUGUGUGAAGAAGCCUUCGGGUUGUUUAUCACUUUUGUCCGGAAAGAAAUCCUUGGUUCUAAUAUAUCCGGGGGAUGACGGUACCGGAAGAAUAGCACCGAAAUACGUGCAGCAGCCGCGGAAUACGUAGGGUGCAGCGUUAUCGGAAUUACUGGGCUAAAGCGUGCGCAGGCGGUUUGUUAAGACCGUGGAAAUCCCCGGCUCAACCUGGGAACUAGCAGUUGGUGACUGGCAAGCUAAGUAUGGCAGAGGGGGCGUGAAUUCACCGCCUGGGGAGUACGGUCGCAAGAUUAAAACUCAAAGGAAUUGACGGGGACCCGCACAAGCGGUGGAUGAUGUGGAUUAAUUCGAUGCAACGCGAAAAACCUUACCUACCCUUGACAUGGUCGGAAUCCCGCUGAGAGGUGGGAGUGCUCGAAAGAGAACCGGCGCACAGGUGCUGCAUGGCUGUCGUCAGCUCGUGUCGUGAGAUGUUGGGUUUAAGUCCCGCAACGAGCGCAACCCUUGUCCUAGUUGCUACGCAAGAGCACUCUAAGGGAGACUGCCGGUGACAAACCGGAAGAACGUGGGGAUGACUCAAGUCCUCAUGGCCCUUAUGGGUAAGGCUUCCCCCUUCAUCAAUGGUCCGAACAUAAGGUUGCCCCCCCCCUCAAGGGGACCCAUCCCCCUAAAUCGAUUGUUUUUCCGGUAUUCACUCUUCUCCCUCCUAUUUCCCUCUAUCCGAGUAUCCCCACUUAUUCCGCGGAUCCUCCUUUCUCCAAGUCAAUUCCUUUCCCAGGUCUAGGUUCCCUGUCCCUCGCUGUACCCCGGAAUUGGGUUUACCCUCACAUUUCUUCUUCCUCCUUCCUUGCAAGACGGUUCCUCCUGGUUAUCCAUACUGAUCGGGAUCGGAUUUCUUCCUGAUUUCCCUUUUCUCAAGGCUUGGCUCGAUUUUUUCUUCUCGCGGGAUACAUUUUU